AGUGAGGAAUAUUGGUCAAUGGGCGCAAGCCUGAACCAGCCAUCCCGCGUGAAGGAAGACGGCCCUAUGGGUUGUAAACUUCUUUUCUGCACCAAGAAUGGGCCUUACGUGUAAGGUUUUGACGGUAGUGCAGGAAUAAGCAUCGGCUAACUCCGUGCCAGCAGCCGCGGUAAUACGGAGGAUGCAAGCGUUAUCCGGAUUCAUUGGGUUUAAAGGGUGCGCAGGCGGAUUGAUAAGUCAGGGAUGAAAUCCCACAGCUCAACUGUGGAACUGCCUUUGAUACUGUUAGUCUUGAGUAUAGUUGAAGUGGGCGGAAUGUGUCAUGUAGCGGUGAAAUGCUUAGAUAUGACACAGAACACCGAUCGCGAAGGCAGCUCGCUAAGCUAUAACUGACGCUCAUGCACGAAAGCGUGGGGAUCAAACAGGAUUAGAUACCCUGGUAGUCCACGCCGUAAACGAUGAUUACUCGAUGUUGGCGAUAUACAGUCAGCGUCUGAGCGAAAGCAAUAAGUAAUCCACCUGGGGAGUACGAUCGCAAGAUUGAAACUCAAAGGAAUUGACGGGGGCCCGCACAAGCGGAGGAGCAUGUGGUUUAAUUCGAUGAUACGCGAGGAACCUUACCUGGGCUAGAACGUAGAGUGACUGCGGGUGAAAGCCUGCUUCCCUUCGGGGCAGUCUACGAGGUGCUGCAUGGUUGUCGUCAGCUCGUGCCGUGAGGUGUCGGGUUAAGUCCCAUAACGAGCGCAACCCCUAUCUUUAGUUGCCAACAGGUCAAGCUGGGGACUCUAAAGAAACUGCCUACGCAAGUAGUGAGGAAGGCGGGGAUGACGUCAAAUCAGCACGGCCCUUACGUCCAGGGCUACACACGUGCUACAAUGGCCGAUACAGAGGGCAGCUACCAGGUGACUGGAUGCAAAUCUCCAAAGUCGGUCUCAGUUCGGAUCGGAGUCUGCAACCCGACUCCGUGAAGUUGGAUUCGCUAGUAAUCGCGCAUCAGCCAUGGCGCGGUGAAUACGUUCCCGGGCCUUGUACACACCGCCCGUCAAGCCAUGGAAGCUGGGGGGACCUAAAGUCGAUAACCGAAAGGAGUCGCCUAGGGUAAAACCAGUGACUGGGGCU
rnacentral:rRNA from 1 species